rnacentral:rRNA from 1 species
CCUACGGGAGGCUGCAGUGAGGAAUAUUGGUCAAUGGACGGAAGUCUGAACCAGCCAUGCCGCGUGCAGGAAGACGGCUCUAUGAGUUGUAAACUGCUUUUGUACAAGGGUAAACCUGAAUACGUGUAUUCAGCUGAAAGUACUGUACGAAUAAGGAUCGGCUAACUCCGUGCCAGUAGCCGUGGUAAUACGGAGGAUCCAAGCGUUAUCCGGAUUUAUUUGGUUUAAAGGGUGCGUAGGCGGAGUGAUAGAUUAGAGGGGAAAUUUUCGAGCUUAACUCGGGAACUGCCUCUAAUACUGUUGAGCUAGAGAGUAGAUGCGGUAGGCGGAAUGUAUGGUGUAGCGGUGAAAUGCUUAGAGAUCAUACAGAACACCGAUUGCGAAGGCAGCUUACCAAUCUAUAUCUGACGUUGAGGCACGAAAGCGUGGGGAGCAAACAGGAUUAGAUACCCUAGUAGUC